GUCAAGUCAUCAUGGCCUUUAUGGGUAGGGCUACACACGUGCUACAAUGGGGCGUACAGAGGGUAGCUACACGGCGACGUGGCGCCAAUCUCAAAAAGUGCGUCUCAGUUCGGAUUGAGGUCUGCAACUCGACCUCAUGAAGUCGGAAUCGCUAGUAAUCGCACAUCAGCAAUGGCGCGGUGAAUACGUUCCCGGACCUU
rnacentral:rRNA from 1 species